UAUCUUUAUGGCUACCCAAGGGACUCGAGAGUGAUCUUAUCUUCUUUCGAAGAUGUAGCGAGCGUCUAUGGAUUCUGGAUGCAGCUGGCUGGAGAUAGUUACUCGGGCUAUAUAGGACCAGGGUGGCUGGUGUCCAUGACGUGUUGAUCUAGUAGUGUCUGGUGGUACGUAAUAUAAGGUGGUGUCAUGCAUAAGUUACUAGUUCAUGCUACUACCUUCAUAGUGGAAAGUAACAUAGGGGUGGUAUUAUUCAAAGUCUCAUUUAGUAGUUUAUAGACUCAUUUUGUCUUUGGGUGUGUGAUGUUAUUGUAACAUAGCUAGUUACCACCUCACUCUUUUUUCACUUAUGUCAUGCCAUGUCACCAAAAUUAAUUAAGUAUUAUUUUUAGUAUGCUUAAGUUGUGUGGGUAUCUACAAUCUAUCUUGAUUUUCAUUUUCGAGCAACAUGCAUAAUUAAGUUGGUUACUGGUCUAAUUAAAUUGCCUUGUCAACAUGCUUAAGGUGUUUAUCUGUGAUAUUGCUAAGUUGUACCAGGAAGCGGUGGAUCCUGGACGGCGUACCUAGUACCAUCUCGAGCGCGGUAGUGGAGGAGGCCAUGGCGCCUAGAUUGAGGAGGUGGCGACGCCCACGAUGCCUAGCGCGAGCGCAAUCCCUCCGUGGUUGCUGGCCAAGGUAAUAUUGAAGUUGCCUUAUCAUUGAUGCUAAGUUAUUUUCUUGCGGGAGGAGAUCAUGUGUUGGUUUGUGAUCCACUCGCAAUUUUGAGCCAAAUCGAGAUAUCCAUGGAGUUCUGGAGGAAGAAGAAGACCUAGAAUAGAAGUUUGUCUUGCAGAAAAGAAGAAGAGAUGGAGUCGUUUGACAAGCACAUCUCACGUCCUGCACUGUGUUGUUUUGUAUCUUACUUGUAACCUCUCUUUUCUUGGUUAGGUGCUGAGUCGGUCAAACUAGCACCCGGAUGCUGGGUUAGACAAACAAGCAUCCGGAUGUUGGGAUGGACAAACCAGUACCGGAUGCUGGCUAUCCGGAUCCAUUUCUUUCUCUUUAUUUUAUCGGUGUGCACAUAGCUAGCUAGCUAGCUACUUAAACCGUUACUAAAAAGAAGAUGUGAUAGAUUGA